UACGUAGGGUGCAAGCGUUGUCCGGAAUUAUUGGGCGUAAAGAGCUCGUAGGCGGUCUGUCGCGUCGGCUGUGAAAUCCCGAGGCUCAACCUCGGGUCUGCAGUCGAUACGGGCAAACUGGAGUACUGCAGGGGAGACUGGAAUUCCUGGUGUAGCGGUGAAAUGCGCAGAUAUCAGGAGGAACACCGGUGGCGAAGGCGGGUCUCUGGGCAGUAACUGACGCUGAGGAGCGAAAAGCGUGGGGGAGCGAACAGG
rnacentral:rRNA from 1 species